CGGACUGCAGGCUGCAACUCGCCUGCACGAAGUUGGAAUUGCUAGUAAUCGUGGAUCAGCAUGCCACGGUGAAUACGUUCCCGGGCCUUGUACACACCGCCCGUCACACCAUGAGAGUUGGGAAUACCCGAAGCCUGUGAGCUAACUUUACGAGGCAGCAGUCGAAGGUAGAAUCAAUGAUUGGGGUGAAGUCGUAACAAGGUACC
rnacentral:rRNA from 1 species